rnacentral:rRNA from 1 species
UACGUAGGGGGCAAGCGUUGUCCGGAUUUAUUGGGCGUAAAGAGCGUGUAGGCGGCUAGAUAGGUCCGUUGUGAAAACUCGAGGCUCAACCUCGAGACGUCGAUGGAAACCAUCUGGCUAGAGUCCGGAAGAGGAGAGUGGAAUUCCUGGUGUAGCGGUGAAAUGCGUAGAUAUCGGAAGGAACACCAGUGGCGAAAGCGGCUUCCUGGUCCAGCACCGACGUUCAGGCACGAAAGCGUGGGGAGCAAACAGG